UACCCAGAAGGAGGUGUGGUUUAGUUUUAGGUGCAGUUAAUCCAGGUAUCCUGUGUGUGAGUCUGUGUGGUUACUGUGGUUAAGGAAAGCACACGAACAGGAGUCACAAUGCCUCCCAAAGAGAAGAAUAAGAAGGGCCAUGAGAAAAAGGGAGUUUGCCAGAAGGGAGUGCACAAGUCGGAGGACAAGGACAACAAAGGCUGCAAGAAGAAGAAGGAACAUAAGAAAAAGGAUAAGCCAGAUGGGGGAAAAAGCUCCUCAUCUUCAUCAUCCUCCAGCAGUGAUGAGGAAUGAUGCUUCCUGGAGGACCGGACUGCUCCGUCAGUCUCUUAUGAUCUUGCCUAUUGACUAAAUGAGUGUGCAGUAUAGUACCAACUUUUUCCUCCUGUUCUUUCAUUGGUGUCACAGAAACAUGCUGGUCUUGUGUAAACAAAUCCGCUGAUUCCUAGAAGUAAAUUUUCUGACAACAAAAUGCUAAAGGCCGACAGUGGUCCAAACAUGUUGGCAUUUUUUAAUGAUUUAGCCACUAUAAUAAAGGCUUUUUAAUAUAUUUCCUUCCUCGUUUGCCACUUGUUUUAAUAUUUUGGAGUGCCUGGAUUGCCUUCUUGUACAAAAUGCUCAAGUUCUUCUGUCAAGUAAAGUGCAUUUUCUUCACCUCAA